ACUUUUGUCUUAAAUAACUUGAAGGCACCAGAUUCUCUCAAAUUUGGAAGGUAAGCAGGGUCAGCCUUGGUUAGUAAUUGAAUAGGAGACAACCAAUAAAUACCAGGUGCUGAAGACC
rnacentral:rRNA from 11 species